rnacentral:rRNA from 1 species
CACGUAGGGCGCAAGCGUUGUCCGGAAUUAUUGGGCGUAAAGAGCUUGUAGGCGGUUUGUCGCGUCUGCUGUGAAAUUUCGGGGCUCAACCCCGAACUUGCAGUGGGUACGGGCAGACUAGAGUGUGGUAGGGGAGACUGGAAUUCCUGGUGUAGCGGUGAAAUGCGCAGAUAUCAGGAGGAACACCGAUGGCGAAGGCAGGUCUCUGGGCCAUAACUGACGCUGAGAAGCGAAAGCAUGGGGAGCGAACAGG